rnacentral:lncRNA from 1 species
UCACUUCCAUAGCCUUGUCAGCUACAAUGUACAUAUUAGAUGGCCUGUAUAUAACCCCAGUCUGAUGGUGUUACACUGGAUCUGCAUUCAUAGACUUGUAGAGAAUCCUUAAGUCCAUUCAGAGACCAAAGGGAGCACGCUGUUGCUGAUAAAGAGAGGAGGUUCAAAGACAAGGGGCUUCAUGGUGCUGUGAUUCUGUAUGAACACAAAGGAUCAAGGAGACUUACCCACAGAUAAGAACCUCGGUGUUGUAUAAGCAGAGAAAGAAAACACAGCCUCCUUCAGGCUUGCCAAGUAAGUACUUACCCAGAGGUGAGGGAACAUGGGAAAACAGUACAUCUGCACUGAUGGUUGUUGUAUUUUGGGCUGUGGAGCAGUGCCCUGAGAGCCUCUUCCCAGGCUUUUCUAGGUGUGAUGGCAGAGGAGAGCUUUAGGAGGUGCUUUGAAGGACAUAGAGUAGCUCUGUGCUGGCAAUGACAGAUUUCACUUUCAAAACGUGAAGAAGAGAGAAAGGUGUAUGGAACACCUAGAAAGCUGUCA